rnacentral:rRNA from 1 species
UACGAAGGGGGCUAGCGUUGCUCGGAAUCACUGGGCGUAAAGCGCACGUAGGCGGCUUUUUAAGUCAGGGGUGAAAUCCUGGAGCUCAACUCCAGAACUGCCUUUGAUACUGAGAAGCUUGAGUCCGGGAGAGGUGAGUGGAACUGCGAGUGUAGAGGUGAAAUUCGUAGAUAUUCGCAAGAACACCAGUGGCGAAGGCGGGUCACUGGGCCCGGAUAGACGC